rnacentral:rRNA from 1 species
CAGCCUACGGGAGGCAGCAGUGAGGAAUAUUGGUCAGUGGACGGAAGUCUGAACCAGCCAUGCCGCGUGCAGGAAGACGGCUCUAUGAGUUGUAAACUGCUUUUGUACAAGGGUAAACCUGAAUACGUGUAUUCAGCUGAAAGUACUGUACGAAUAAGGAUCGGCUAACUCCGUGCCAGCAGCCGCGGUAAUACGGAGGAUCCAAGCGUUAUCCGGAUUUAUUGGGCGUAAAGCGUCCGCAGCCGGUUUAUUAAGUAUAGAAUAAAACUUCGGGGCUCAACCCCGUCUCGUUCUAUAAACUGAUA